GGGGGUGCUUGUGGUUAAGAGUCACUAUCUGCUACUUCUCAUCAUAUAGCAUGUGGGCAUCACUUCGCACCCAUACGUUGAUGCAGUAGCGUGAUAUUUUACUACCUUUUUUUUGGGGGGGCAGGGGGGUGGGGGGGAGAGAAUCACAAAGUGGACGUCAAACCUGAUAAAAGUGAAAGAGUGUCCAAGGAUUUCUCCUUGUCUGCGGUAUGAAAGGAGGCUCAAAGCCAGGUAUGAAAAGGAGGCAGCGUGUAUUUUUAAAAAGAAUAAACAAAGACUCAAACUAAUUACUGGUGGAGGUCAGAGCACCAAAUGCAUAUUCAAAAGCUCAGGGCAUUGCAAGGAACUCAUGACUGUCACACUUAUUUAGAAGCCCAAAUAGGCAAUUUCGCACUGAAUCAGAACAGAAAGAAAACGUAAAAAGUUUCAAAUUAUUGAUGACGGGCUUCUGCGAGGGUGAAAAAAAAGAGAAAUUGACCAUGAAAACUGGGUUUGGAAUUAAAUUGGCUGGAAAAGAAAUAAAAAAAAACUGUUUGUGGUACAACUCUUAAAAUGCGCCUUUGUAGGAAUGCCAAGGUUAAUUUGCACGUCAGUUAAAUAGGUGAUUAAAUCUGAAAGGGGCUGAGGGAAGUAGCUUGACUGUAUACAUUUGAAUCGGGGUAAAUCUUGCGCAUUCCUGCCCAUGUAGUUCAGCUGUAUUCAACACUGUAUCUGAAAUGCAUUUAAUGGCUCCACAGAGAGGCCCGGGGGCAGAAGGAAGGGCAACCCCCUCCCAAUGCUAUUGACCAAAAGACAAGGUGGCUUGAGGUCAGUGAUAGAUGCUGGGUGGUGGAUUGAAGUCUGUGGUAGAUGUUGGGUGGUGGCUUGAGGUCUGUGGUAGAUGUUGGAUGGUGGCUUGAGGUCUGUGGUAGAUGUUGAGUGGUGGCUUGAGGUCUGUGGUAGAUGUUGGGUGGUGGCUUGAGGUCUGUGGUAGAUGUUGGGUGGUGGCUUGAGGUCUGUGGUAGAUGUUGGGUGGUGGCUUGAGGUCUGUGGUAGAUGUUGGAUGGUGGCUUGAGGUCUGUGGUAGAUGUUGGGUGGUGGCUUGAGGUCUGUGGUAGAUGUUUGGUGGUGGCUUGAGGUCUGUGGUAGAUGUUGAAUGGUGGCUUGAGAUCUGUGGUAGAUGUUGGGUGGUGGUUUGAGGUCUGUGGUAGAUGUUGGAUGGUGGCUUGAGA